AUUGAACGCUGGCGGCAGGCCUAACACAUGCAAGUCGAGCGGAUGAAGGGAGCUUGCUCCUGGAUUCCGCGGCGGACGGGUGAGUAAUGCCUAGGAAUCUGCCUGGUAGUGGGGGAUAACGUCCGGACACGGGCGCUAAUACCGCAUCCGUCCUGAGGGAGAAAGUGGGGGUUCUUCGGACCUCACGCUAUCAGAUGAGCCUAGGUCGGAUUAGCUAGUUGGUGGGGUAAAGGCCUACCAAGGCGACGAUCCGUAACUGGUCUGAGAGGAUGAUCAGUCACACUGGAACUGAGACACGGUCCAGACUCCUACGGGAGGCAGCAGUGGGGAAUAUUGGACAAUGGGCGAAAGCCUGAUCCAGCCAUGCCGCGUGUGUGAAGAAGGUCUUCGGAUUGUAAAGCACUUUUAGUUGGGAGGAAGGGCAGUAAGUUAAUACCUUGCUGUUUUGACGUUACCAACAGAAUAAGCACCGGCUAACUUCGUG
rnacentral:rRNA from 1 species